AAAUCUUCACCAUUAUAACUACCACCUAACAAUAAUAAGUUCAGUAAAAAGUAAUCCAACUAUGAGACGUGACAGAGAAAGUCAUGAUGAUACCUCUCAACAAUGGAAUUCUCCUCAUCAAUGGACCUUGAGACUGAUCUGAUCUACUGUAGAUAGUGUUCACAAGGUAGGCUAAAAAAGGCACUGAUAAAUCCUAUUCUAACAAAAUCAGUCUGAAAUCCUUCUCUUCAGUGAGAAAUUGGAGAGAAAAACGUGACAAAGAGACUAUUUAGCUUUAUUUCAUCAUAUUGCCAACAACCCCAAAGUAUCCAAUUCUCUUCAAGAAUUCAUUAUCGGAGAGACGACUUGAACUAUCAGUGACUUUAAAUCUUCAAUUCUUCAGCUCAGUUCUUCUAUGACUUCAACUCUUUAGGGAGUUGUUCUCCCAAAUCACAGAAGAUAAUCCAUUCUCAACUCUCUUCACUUCUCUUACCAGUUGUUCAUUAUCUCAUUCAUUGUUCAUUCAUUGUUUAGUGAAA
rnacentral:misc_RNA from 1 species